rnacentral:rRNA from 1 species
ACCCGCGGCAAGACGGAAAGACCCCGUGAACCUUUACUAUAGCUUGACACUGAACAUUGAGCCUUGAUGUGUAGGAUAGGUGGGAGGCUUUGAAGCGUGGACGCCAGUCUGCGUGGAGCCGACCUUGAAAUACCACCCUUUAAUGUUUGAUGUUCUAACGUGGAUCCGUAAUCCGGGUUGCGGACAGUGUCUGGUGGGUAGUUUGACUGGGGCGGUCUCCUCCUAAAGAGUAACGGAGGAGCACGAAGGUUGGCUAAUCCUGGUCGGACAUCAGGAGGUUAGUGCAAUGGCAUAAGCCAGCUUGACUGCGAGCGUGACGGCGCGAGCAGGUGCGAAAGCAGGUCAUAGUGAUCCGGUGGUUCUGAAUGGAAGGGCCAUCGCUCAACGGAUAAAAGGUACUCCGGGGAUAACAGGCUGAUACCGCCCAAGAGUUCAUAUCGACGGCGGUGUUUGGCACCUCGAUGUCGGCUCAUCACAUCCUGGGGCUGAAGUAGGUCCCAAGGGUAUGGCUGUUCGCCAUUUAAAGUGGUACGCGAGCUGGGUUUAGAACGUCGUGAGACAGUUCGGUCCCUAUCUGCCGUGGGCGCUGGAGAACUGAGGGGGGCUGCUCCUAGUACGAGAGGACCGGAGUGGACGCAUCACUGGUGUUCGGGUUGUCAUGCCAAUGGCACUGCCCGGUAGCUAAAUGCGGAAGAGAUAAGUGCUGAAAGCAUCUAAGCACGAAACUUGCCCCGAGAUGAGUUCUCCCUGAGACUUAGAGUCUCCUGAAGGAACGUUGAAGACGACGACGUUGAUAGGCCGGGUGUGUAAGCGCAGCGAUGCGUUGAGCUAACCGGUACUAAUGAACCGUGAGGCUUAACCUU